CCCUCGAACGAACGGGAAGAGCCAGUGCGUCGGCCAAUCCGGUCGAGUGUCGCGAUCGACCUCGCGCGCGCGUCCACCGCGACACCGUGUAUGCACCGCCGAAGUACGGCACCGGGUACAUUACUACUCCCCAGAGGGUAGGACGAAGAGAGAAGGCCCUGUCUUCCGCGCGUCGCGCAUCGAUCCGCCAGCAUACUUUCGUUCCGAGGAUUGAAAGCGGUGCAAUUUCGCGCUGAGUCCAAUUCUCUCGUAUUGAGACGGCGUCUGGACCUGUUUGCAGAACUAGAUUAAUAUGAUUAAAGCUAAUCUUGAUCGACAACCGGCGAUGAACCUAAAGGUGAAGCAGAAGGGGUGGGAGAAGAUAAACACCAAUCGGAGUAAAGCGUCUUCCUCACCCGUACUUUGUUGGCAAGAGGCGUGUCGCUACGCCUCGUGCUUCACCGACAAAAUGGCAAUUCUCGUUGUUCAUAUAAUGUAUACUAAGCUUCACAUUCAUGAACAAGUCAGCCAGAGGCAUUUUCGAAAGGUACAAUUGAUGAGGAAAUCGUGAGAUCGUGUCGACUAGAGCAAUUAAGAUUUAGUUGAACGAACGAAAAAAAACAUGGCAAGGAACAGUCAACAAGUAUGUUAAUUGAUUAAUUUAAGACAGUUUUUUCUCUUUAUAUGUAUUAUAAAUAAUAUUUAUAUUUAUAUAAUAAAUAAUAUUUACAAUCAAAACUCUUGAAUCUCUAUAAGACUAUCAAUAUGGUGCA